rnacentral:rRNA from 1 species
UACGUAGGUGACAAGCGUUGUCCGGAUUUACUGGGCGUAAAGAGCGCGCAGGCGGUCGUUCAAGUCGAGUGUGAAAGCCCCCCGGCUCAACUGGGGAGGGUCACUCGAUACUGAUCGACUCGAAGGCAGGAGAGGGAAGUGGAAUUCCCGGUGUAGUGGUGAAAUGCGUAGAUAUCGGGAGGAACACCAGUGGCGAAGGCGGGUCUCUGGACAGUUCCUGACGCUGAGGCACGAAGGCCAGGGGAGCAAACGGG